UGACAUGACGCAGGGAGGUAGUGACAAGACAUUACGAUCGGGGGACUCACGCCUUGUAAUUGGUAUGAUGGGAACCUAAACCCCUUCCAGAGUAUCAAUUGGAGGGCAAGUCUGGUGCCAGCAGCCGCGGUAAUUCCAGCUCCAAUAGCGUAUAUUAAAAUUGUUGCAGUUAAAAAGCUCGUAGUUGAAUUUCUGCCGCAUCGCGUCGGCCCUCCCGGGCCCAGCGUUGCGUUUUAUUUCAGACUCGCUUGCGUCUCCGAAUGUUUACUUUGAGAAAAUAAGAGUGCUCAAAGCAGGCCCUUGCCUUGAAUACUUUAGCAUGGAAUAAUAAAGUAGGACUUUGGUUCUAUUUUGUUGGUUUAGCGCCAAAGUAAUGGUUAAUAGGAACAGUUGGGGGCAUUCGUAUUUAACUGUUAGAGGUGAAAUUCUUAGAUCUUAGA
rnacentral:rRNA from 1 species